GGGUGUGAGAGUGAUCUCACUGCAGCAUCCUUCACCCUGUCCAUCACCAGGCUACAUUUGACUAAUCUGGCUGCCCAGCGGGGGUUAUCCCCUUCCUCCUGCACUGCUCCAUGUGUCUCCACUGAAGCUGGGCUCUUGAUUGAAAAGGACGAACUUCUCUGAAUAGAAAUGAGUUAUUUGUUUGUGGGGAUAUGAGUAGCUGGAACCUCCAAACAAGCUCUCUGGAAAACAAUCAAGCACGAGCAUUCAAUGUGUGCGGCUUUGGGUU
rnacentral:snRNA from 1 species